rnacentral:rRNA from 1 species
CGAGUCGUGACCGGACAUGCUUCUCGUUAAGCGGAGAAAGCUCAUCUUUGAAAUCUGGCGCCUUCGGUGUCCGAGUUGUAAUUUGAAGAUUGUAACCUUGGGGUUGGCUCUUGUCUAUGUUUCUUGGAACAGGACGUCACAGAGGGUGAGAAUCCCGUGCGAUGAGAUGCCCAAUUCUAUGUAAGGUGCUUUCGAAGAGUCGAGUUGUUUGGGAAUGCAGCUCUAAGUGGGUGGUAAAUUCCAUCUAAAGCUAAAUAUUGGCGAGAGACCGAUAGCGAACAAGUACAGUGAUGGAAAGAUGAAAAGAACUUUGAAAAGAGAGUGAAAAAGUACGUGAAAUUGUUGAAAGGGAAGGGUUUGAGAUCAGACUCGAUAUUUUGUGAGCCUUGCCUUCGUGGCGGGGUGACCCGCAGCUUAUCGGGCCAGCAUCGGUUUGGGCGGUAGGAUAAUGGCGUAGGAAUGUGACUUUACUUCGGUGAAGUGUUAUAGCCUGCGUUGAUGCUGCCUGCCUAGACCGAGGACUGCGAUUUUAUCAAGGAUGCUGGCAUAAUGAUCCCAAACCGCCCGUCUUGAAACACGGACCACGUUUUAUCCACGGAUUAUUGAAUUACACCAAUUGGC